AGGCUGGCUUUGAGUUCCCUUUGUAGCCCGGAUAGACCUUACACUUGAAAUCUUCAGCUUCCCAUAUAGCGGGGAGUACAGCUACACCACCAGGCCAGGCUUUGAAUACUGCAGUUUUUACGACCCACAAAUUCCCAAAGAAUUACAAACUUGAAUAAGGUCACAGGAGAACACCGUGGGAAGAUGUGUCCUAGGAAGGCCUGGUCUGACUCCUCCCUACUCCCUCAAGGGAAAGCUCUCUAUAAAGCAUCGCCCCAGUUGUGGGUGAGCCUGGGACAAUGUUCCCACCUCCGCUACAUGUAACUAGAUAAGGGUAGCAAGAAAAGGUUGUUUGUUUAGAGGACGGAUUGCUGGGGCCCAGGUCAGUCUGGGAGAAAGGGGAUGAUGGCUGAGGUCGCUCCAGAUAGUGUCCAGUUGGUCCUUAAGGAACCGGAUUCGAUCGUCCAGGCUGCGCUGCUGUGACAGGAUCCUGGCCUUGGAGGCCAGCAGCACACAAUAGGAGCGCAGAUGCUCUGCGGGCAGCUCCCGCUCCAACACCUGACGCAGGGUUUGCUCCCGCCGAGCCACGUGCUCCUUCAGCUCCUUAGCUUCUUCUUGCUGUCGCUGCAGAAGUUGGAGUCGCUGCAGCAGAGAGGCCUGGAACCACCGGGAGAGGGCGCAGUGAACACCGUUGCUUCCCGGAUGAUCCGGGCGGUAGAAGGAAGGCCCCUCCAAACCCUGCUCUUCCCCCAACCUCAACCUAUUUUACCCUCUCAUCAGGGUCGCUGUUUGAGCCCGCCCUAGCCAAGGCGAGGUUUACACGGACCAGGCGACUGCCUAGCAGCAGCAGCAGACCAAGCACACGCUCUAGAUCAGUCAUGAACCGGCGGAACCGUUCCAGCUCCCGGGGUGUACAGGCCUGGCUCACAGCAGCCUCUAGAGCUCCGUUGCGUUGGGUCCAGUCUGCGGCGGUCCCCCGCAGUCGCUCCUGCUCAGCGUGAAGAUCCUGCAGCAUCUUUUGGAGGAGGCGGGCUAGUUCCACCUACCGGGAGGGCCUAAGUAUUCAAAAACUGGGCCAAGUCUGGAUUUCUCCAACCAGACACUAAGCCGCGGCCCCACCCAGCUUCCAUCCCCCUACCCACCCCACCCCUUCCCCCACUCACUUUCUUGGCCUGGGUGCUGUUUCCUUCUGGGAAUUCCUGGCCACUUGAUUGGUCAGGGUCGGGGGUAGAGUUUUCAGACCUUGAUGCCUCUUGGGAAGUCUGCAGGUCCUGCGUGAGGUGGUGUCCACAAGACCUGAGGACAAAGCCAAAGUUCUCUGAAUCUUUCUGCCUUAGACUGCAGAUACUCAGAAUCAGGAGUCCUUAAUGCUCACCCUUCCUCCGAUGCGCCAGCAGCCUUCUCUCCCAUCUCCUCAAGGGCUGGCCUCAUCGCACUUCGGAUCUCUUCGACAGGAAAAAGCCCAUCCAGCAGGCCCUGCGGUGGCUCUGGACCGGGCUGGGCGGCAAGAGUACGGCUCAAAGAGGGAUCCAGUCUGGCCAGCUCUUGAACCAGCGCCUCAAAAUGCCGACUAGGCCAAGUAGUCUUGGAAUCAAACUGGCCCCAAGUCAGGGAAGUGUGGUGAGGGGACCCUGGAGUCUCAGAGUCUGAAGGUCUCAAGACAUCGACUGGGGGAGGCUUGAGGGGUUUUUUCUCUGUAGCUGCAGAGGGGUCAGUGGUCCCAUUAGUGUCAAAGGUUGGGAUGUCGUCAUUUGUAGUCUCUGGAAUGCUUGUGGGUCUGGAGAGAUCCACAGAGCCGUUCACCGCUUGCCCACAGUCCUCUGUACCCGUGAUCCCUGGAGUCUCAUGGAGGGGUCUCUCUGCUGAAACUGCAAUCUGACCAGCUUUUUUGCUUAAGUCGUUUUCAUACUGCCGGUAGGAGGUGCUGGAAGUAGACGGGAUACUGAAUCAGAAAAGGCUCUGGUGCAGACAAGAGCUCAAGGUCUGGCUGCUUGCCGCCAUCCCCCAACACCUGGGCAUUACCUGAGAGAGUUCCCAGCCCUUUGGCAUUUUUUAGAUGUAUAUGUGUUAGGAGAGUGUCUCUCUGUGUUUGGACACAGGAAGGGAUUCACCUGGUGGGGAGCCCUUGGGAAUCUUGAGGUGACGGUGUUUUGGCUUCUCUCAGGAACACGUCAUCUUCAGGGAGGGAGGGGCCCGGAGUAGACACCGAGGUCUCAGAGAUUCUCCGACCACAGCCAGCCGGUUUGGUCUGGAGGGCCUCUCCAGGACACACUCCUGUGACCUCCUUCUGAGUCAAAGACCUAGAGGCAGGGAGCCUACAGUGACCAGGAAAGAGGCCCUUCCCACGGCCCCAGACAAACAGCAGAGCAUGCAGUUUGCACAAGACUGUCGGAAGUCUCAGACUGAGGCACGUAGACUGUCCUGUAAUGAUUAGAUCUUUGCCAACUUGAAUGGAUUUGGAAUUACCUAGGAGACACACCUCUGACUGACUCUGAGGGGGUUUCCAGAGAGGUGCCACUGGGGAGGGAAGAUGUAUAUGUGUGAGGAGAAUGUCUGAGAUUGUAAUCUGACUGAAUGUGGGCAGAGUCAUCCCAUGGACUGAAGUUUGAGGACUGAACAGAAGUGGAAAGGGCACUGAGCCCCAGCAGGAGUCCGUUUCCUGAUGGAGGGUAACCAGAAGCCUCACACGCCCUGAAUCCAUGCCUUCCUGCCGGGAUGGACUCCACUCUCUUCAACCGCGAGCCAAAAUAAAUAUUUCUUCUUCAAGUCUCCAUUCUUAAGAAUUUGUUCACGGGGCUGGAGAGAUGGCUCAGAGGUUUAGAGUACUGACUGCUCUUCCAGAGGUCCUGAGUUCAAAUCCCAGCAACCACAUAGUGGCUCACAACCAUCUGUAAUGGGAUCCAAGUGCCCUCUUCUGGUGAGUCUGAAGAUAGCUAUAGUGUAUGCAUACACAUAAAAUAAAUAAAUAAAUCUUCAAAAGAAAAAAAAUUGUUCUCAACAAUAGGAAAAGUAAUGGAUAUGGGACCUGUGAUUCCUUUUUAAAUCAAGACCCGUGAAAGUUGACUCCAAGAGUGUCCCUUAUCUCUCACCUGGAAAGCUUGGUGUGAAGCAGUGGUCUGCGGAUGUCUGCUCUUUGAGGAACAGCCUAGAACAGGGAAACAGUGGUCUGAAACAGUCUCCCAGAUGCCGCCCUCCCCCACCAGUCGACGUCCUUUAUCUUCCAUACCUGGACAGUGGCCACAGUCCUUUCUGAACCCUUGCAGGGACCCAUGACCUCGCCUGAAACACUCUGACUCCGACCCGCAGGUCUAUGGGCAUUGCCAAGAUCCGCUGGCCCGGAAUUCAGCUCCGUUGAGCUUAGGGACUGAGUCUCCAGCAGCCCUUUGGACUUUGCGUGCAUCCCACGCUGCAACUCCUGCGUGGAAUAAUCUUUUCUCAAGUCCUCACCAGUGGGCCCACCGCUCCAACCUACGCGAUGUAAUUUGCCUGGCUCAGAGAAGCAGCACUGCCGCUGCUGGCUGGAGAGACGCCCCCGGCCAGCAGCAGCUAGCGCUGGGACAGCGGUGCGCGCCGGCUCCUCUUCUCCCAGCUCCUGGCUGCUGGAGGCGGAGCGCACGUGCGCCGUGGGAAGUCGCGUGGGGACUGCGGGACGCAGGCGGCCCGGCAGGCUCAUGCGAAACUCCUUUCGCUGGAAGGACGUCUCCCGCAGCACUCGUCGCUGUGCACCCUGCAACCGCUGGCGAUGAGAACCCCGCGGUUCUGAGGAGGAAGUGACCCGGCCCAGAGACACACACAGGUCGUAAGUGGCAGAGCCCUGCCUAGAAUCGAGGCAUGUCUCCAAGUUCACUGCAGCCAAAAUUAAUUUCCUAGAGGCAAACCCUGGCCAAAGCCCUUGCCAUGGUCCCUCUUUCUCCAAGAAAACCCACAGUCAAAGUGUGAAAUAAGUCAACUUCAAGUGCCAUAAAUUCCAUAAUAAUACAUUGGGUGGGCCCGCAACUAUGUCUUCUGUCUAGGGAGCUUCAUCAGACACCCACCUCUCUCAUGCUACACCCACAGGACUCAGCUUGGAGGUCAUGGGGUUCUUUGGGGGGGGGGGUCACUCAUCACCCCUACUCUGCCAUUGUUUUUUAUUUCCUCCUCCCAUUCCCACCCCCUGAGUGUCCUGGGGACAGGCCCUGCCUUUAUAUGUCACUCAGUGCCUGGCACCAGCCCUGGCAUGUAGUCAAUGUUAAAUAAAUAGUUGGUGACUGGCAAGGGGACAGACGGAGGCAUGGGGAGUUGGUAGAGGGGUGGCCUUGGUAGAAAAGAGGAGGUUUACUGUCUUCCCCGCCCCCUUCUCCCCUCCCUAUUAGUCUUUUCUGGGGAAAGCAACAGAAUGGCUGAGGAGGCCCUGGCCACCACGGGUUUAACCAGGUUACUCAUGCGUUAUCAGGAAGAAACAGAGCCUGCAGGCAAGCAGGACUGGCUGGAAAUUGAUCUCUCCCCAGUGCCAGGAGGCAGAGCAAGGGGGAAGGCCUGUGUGGCUGCGCUGGGAUUGGCUGAGAGCAGCUCUGAGGUUUGAGGAUCUGUGACUCCCAGUGACCUAUGUUGGAAGGUUGUCUUCCUUGACCUGCUUGGUUAGGGUGCAGAGAAUAGGGUGGCACACACUGGGGGUGUGGUCCCAAAGCAGGCUCAUUUGAGCUUCCCAGACACUUUGGAAUACAGGUGGGCAAAUCUCUCUGGGAUGCAGUAGUCAACACAUUGCUGGGAGUGGGGCCAGGAGCAUAAAGCCUUCCUAAAGUGGAGAGGCAAGUGAGCCUCCACUAGACCUAGGGCCAGACUCUUGAUGUGACCACACUGGGUGACUGACUCUUCAUGUACAACAAGGCCAGCCCUGUUGGUUAGUCUUUACACUCAGGGCUGGUGAUCUUUUCACAAAGGCCACAGGAGGGUAAGAAGCUACCAACUGAGUGACAGCCUCUAAGAAAAUAGGCAACUCCUCUAAAAGGCCUACCCUGGCUGCUUAGACACCAGUGCGCUCGCUUUCUCUCUCUUCCUACGUUUUCUUUUCUUUAGAAACUUUUUUUUUUUUUGGCUAGGCAGUAGCGGCACACACCUUUACUUCCAGCACGUGGGAAGCAGAGGCAGGCGGAUCUUUCUAAAUUAGAGCCCAGCCUGGUCUACAGAGCAAGUUCCAGGACAGCCAGAGCUACACAGAGAAGUCCUGUUUCAAAAAAACAAUAAAAAUAAA
rnacentral:lncRNA from 1 species